AGGAACUAUACCUUCCGAACUUGGAAAUCUGAAGAAUCUCAUCAGCUUGGAUCUGUACAACAACAAUCUUACGGGGAUAGUUCCCACUUCUUUGGGAAAAUUGAAGUCUCUGGUCUUUUUGUAAGUUUCUCUCAAACUCUGACAUCGACACACCGAACAAUAAUACUUAAGACUUCUCUUAAAAACUGCAAAAUGGUUUAUCAAAUGUUGAGUAAGAGAACAAGAGUGUUUAUGUGGGUUGUUCUCCAAAACCUGAUUAUUUUUGUGAUGCCUCUUCAUUCUCUUGUCUCUCUAAGAAACUGUUUAAUGUGGCAGACGGCUUAAUGACAACCGAUUGACCGGUCCAAUCCCUAGAGCACUCACGGCAAUCUCAAGCCUUAAAGUUGUGUAAGUUCAGCUUGAUCAUUGUUUGUUUGUUAACGCUCUGCUGCAUUUCUCUUAGUUACCAGAACCCCUUUCUAUCCAACCUAUUGACUUCAUCCUCUUACUUGAAAAUACGUAUUUUCUUUGUCUUUCUUUUCUCAGUGAUGUCUCAAGCAAUGAUUUGUGUGGAACAAUCCCAACAAACGGGCCUUUUGCUCACAUUCCUUUACAGAAGUAAGUUUCUUCUUUCACUUAGCCAACAAGUUUCUGGAUAAUAUAUCCCCCUGCAUUUGCAUUUGUUGUCACCCAAAUUACAAACUGCUUUGAUAAGUGUGAAGUCGAGUGUCGUCUUUGUUACAGAUAUCAAUUGAUAUCGUAUGUUUUCAUAUAAAGUAUAGACUGAUAAAGUUGCAUAUGAGCAUUUGUUUCUAAUAACGCAAAACAUUUGUGCAGCUUUGAGAACAACCCGCGAUUGGAAGGACCGGAAUUACUCGGUCUUGCAAGCUACGACACUAACUGCACCUGAAACAACUGGCAAAACCUGAAAAAGAAGAAUUGGGGGGUGACCUCGUAAGAACACUUCACCACUUUUAUCAUAUAUCACAUCUAUUAUGUAAUAAGUAUAUAUAUGUAGUACCCAAAAAAAUGAAGAAUCGAAUCAGCAAUAUCAUCUGGUCUCAAUUGAGACAGACCUCCCAAAGACUGAGUGGCCUGUGUAUGUAAAAUUUCUAAAUGCGACUUUCGCGUACUGUAAUGUUCGUUGUGGGAUUCUAAGUAACAUUUGUAUUGGUAUGGUAUCAAGUUGUUUGC
rnacentral:lncRNA from 1 species